UACGGAGGGUGCAAGCGUUGUUCGGAUUUACUGGGCGUAAAGGGCGUGUAGGCGGUCGGCCAAGUCUGAUGUGAAAGCCCGAGGCUCAGCCUCGGAAGUGCGUCGGAAACUAGUCGGCUGGAGCGCGAUAGAGGAGGGUGGAAUUCCUGGUGUAGCGGUGAAAUGCGUAGAUAUCAGGAGGAACACCGGCGGCGAAGGCGGCCCUCUGGAUCGUUGCUGACGCUGAGACGCGAAAGCGUGGGGAGCAAACAGG
rnacentral:rRNA from 1 species